GGAGGAAUUAUAUUGAUAUUUAAUAAUUGAGUGCAACAAUACAUGAGAUAAUUUAAGGUGGGUUGGACGUGCCAGUUACAUCAUAAUGCAGAUGCAUGAGGGAAAAGGGUGGGGGGUAGGGGAGUUCUUCAAAGUAAAAGAUUAGGUGUAGGGUGAUCCUGUGUUUGAUUAUUCAAAUUUUGCCAGUGCAUCCGCAACUCCGCUUCUGUCUCUCGUUGCGUGGUUGAGUUGUUAUAUAUUGAGUUCCUGGAUCAUUGACCUGCAAGAUGUUAUGAGUUUUAUGUAUCUUGGUCUUUCAUAUUGAAGUAUUUAAAUUAAUACCUGCGAGUCUAUUUCAACAAUUAAUGGACAAAGUCUACAUUUGGCAGCAAUUGUCAGUCCAUGAUAGAGUGCAAUAGUUCAGCCCGUAGGGCGUUUGUACUUGGUAGAUGUGUUGCAAAUUCAUAUAUCCAUUUUCCUGUGGAGUCGCGAAAAACUCCUCCAAUUACUAUAUGGUGAUUUGUUGAUCCAUUGUCCUAUGGAGUCGCGAAAAACUCCUCUUGCUCCUCCAUGGUGAUUUGUUGGGUCAUAAGCCCCGUCUAUGUUAAGUUUAAUAUGUUGUGAAUGUGGUUUAUCCCAAGGGGUAAUUUCUCUCAUAGCCUUAGCUUUUUGUUAGGGAUAUUUGUUAGAUAGUAGACUUGAUAUGCUAGAGAGAUGAUUGUGGUGGUGCCUAUUAGGUGGUUUUGGUUUUUGAAAUGGUCAUUAUUGUGGUUAAGCCAAGGUUGCCACAAAAGGAUGGGUGUUAAGAUAAAAGAUGGUAUAUAAGUGUUGGAGUUUAAUUGGAUUGGUGUAUGUGAGGUGCAAAUCUUGUGUAACCAGUGCAUGAGAUUGGUUGUAGGUAUUUUAAUACGGAGGUGGCGCCAUAAGAUGCUUGCUGGUUUGCAAUGUAGAAAGAUGUGUUGAAUAUCCUCUCGAAUAUUAGUACAAUUCGGGCAGUGUGGAUUAUUAGUGAUGUUUCUAAAGCAUAGAAGAGAUUUGGUUGGAAGUUUCUCAUGGGAAAGAUCCAUAAAAAAUAUUUUAUUUUUGGUAAUGUCGUUAGUUUCUAGAUCCAAUUGCUGGGGAAGUUUAUUUUACGGUGGGUAUCUUUAUGAAGUAUAUAUAGGUACACUGAGAAAGUGGUAAAUGGGCCAUCGUUUGAGUAGUGUCAAUAGGAUGUAUCUUCUCCUUGUUGGGUUGUAAGGAUGGGGGUAUUUUUUAUGAGGGACAUGAUUUAUGAGGGCAAUAGAAAGGAGAGAUUAGAGGUGUCCCAGAUAGAGUGUCAAAUGAGAUGUGCCACUGGUUUAUAUAGUUGCGUUUAAGUAUAUGUCCUUGGAUUAGGUGUCUAAGAGAUAAGUUAUUUGCAAUCUAAUGGUCAGACCAAAGUUUUAUAUGUGGGAAUUGUGUUUAGAAAUGAUUUGAUUAAGGUUGUCUUUCCCGCUAGGGAGAGAAAUUUUGAUUUCCAGCCAGAUAGUUUAGUAGUGGUUCAAUCAAUAAUGUAUUUGUAAUCAGCUGUUUUAGGUUGGUUAUGAGUGAUUGGUACUCCUAAGUAUUUGCCUAUGUUUGUUGUAAUAGGGGUGUUUAAGGAAUUGAUACCACUUGGCUAUGGGUAGGGUUUAAGUUAGUUGAGAAAAGAAAUUUUGAUUUCUUAAAAUUGAUUCUUUGUCAAGAUUUUGCACUUAAGUAUUGGAAUAUCUCAGUUAUUGUGGCAGUAUUGGAAGUGGUUGGUUGUGCUAGUAGGAUGAGGUCAUCCGCAAACAUGAGGUGCGAGAGCGGUUGAGCAUUUCUAUUUAGUUGUAUGGGGGUCCACGGCAAAUGUCUAUAUUAUGCUCAAUAAUGCUCAAUAAUAGAUGAAUAAGUAUGGUGAUAACGGGUCUCCUUGUCUUAUACCUCUCGAGGGUUGAAAUAAAGGAGUGGGUGCUCAAUUGAUAAUUCUGGAAAUAGAGGAAAUUAUAACAUAGGACAUUAUGAGGUUAAUUAAGGGCUGCAGAAUUGUAAGUGCUUUAGGGAUAAUGAAUGAGUUGGAUUGAUUACUUUGGGGUAAAGAUGUUUGAUUCUAUUAAUAAUAAUUUUAGUAAUGAUCUUGUAUAUAGUAUUGCAUAUGCCAAUUGGUCUCUAUUGGUGUAUGAAUUCAGGAAAGUUAGUCUUGGGGAUGAGGAUGAUAUUAGUUUUAUUUAUUUCGGUGUGGGAGGGGGAGUAGAGGGGGGAUAGUGGAUGUAGGGAUGAUAUUAGUUUUAUUUAUUUCUGUCUGCUUUUUUCGACCAAAUUGUUUUGGAAGAAAAUGGGGUGCAGUCCAUCCAAGCCAGGAGCUUUAAGAGGUUUGAAUGAGUUUACUGAAUUUGUGAUCUGUGAAGUGGAUAAAGGUCUUUGUAAUGUUUGGAUGUCAUCAUUUGUGAGUAAAUUUGAGAAGGUAGGAAUAAAUUCAUUUUGGCAAUGUGUUAAUUGAGUAGUAAAAAAGUCUUAGUAGUAAUUAAAGAUUGUAUCACGAAUGGUGUGGAUAAAAAAAGUCCAAUUUCCUAGUGAAUCAUGGAGAUUUAGGAUUCUAUUUUGUAUACGUCUUAUUACUGUGGAGAGGUGGGAGUAGUAUGUAUUAGCAUCUCCGUCAUUAAGCCAUUGGAUGGGGAAUUUUAAUUUGCAGUAUUCCUCUUUUAUUCGAAGUAAGUUACUAAAAUCUGUGACUAGUUGAUUUUCAAAAUUAUAGUGGAAAGAGUUAUUGUUUCCUGGUUGCAUAUUUCAAAGUCCUUUUAGUCAGGCAAUUAACAUCUUUUUUUUGUAAAAGAUGUUCCCAAAAGUGCAAAUGUUCCAGUGAUUAAAUAGGUUUAUAAAGUUGUUAGGCUUUUAGAAUAGUCAUUUUCAUCUAGACAAGUGUUCGCUAUAACAUGUUGGAAUUGAGGGUGUUGUAGCCAAAUCGUUUCAAAUUUGAAGGUUGGAGUAGGUUUGGAGUAAAGUUUGGUUAAAUUAAAAAUUAGGUGGUAGUGAUCAGAGUGAGUAUGUGUUAGGUGCUUGAUAGUUGAGCCUUGGAAUAAUUGUAGCCAUUUAGUGUUACCAAAGAAUUUAUCCAGUCUUUCCAUGAUGAUAUUGUUUGGAUGAUUUUGUUUUUGUGAUUAAAAUUAGGUUUGUUGGUCUAGGUGAAUCUAGGUCCUGAGAAUCCUAGAUCAAUCAUUUUAAUAUUAUCAAGGAAUUUGUUGAAAGUGGAGAAAUUUUUAUAUUAAUAGGUGCUCCGCCAAUUUUUUUCUUAGAGGUGGAGACCUUGUUGAAGUAUCCACAUAGGAGCCAUGUACAACUAUAAUGUUCAUGCACUGCUUGUAGAUUGUUUCAUAUUAUUUUUCUAUCAGAAAAUUUUUUGCUAGCCUAAACUAAUAAUAGUAACCAUGAAGGUGAUUUAUUACCACGAUAGAGGCGUGUAUCUCUUGACUUAUUGUUGCUACUAUAUUUAUAAACAAUUCAUGGACGCGCUAGAGAAUAACCAUACCUCCUGAUUGGCCUUGAGCUGCCACUUGGAUUAAGUCUGUGUAGUUGAACUUCGUGAGUAGCUCAGUGUAAUCAGCCAUUUUUGUUUCUGUGAGGCAUAAGAUAGAGGGAUUGUUCCAUGUGAGCAAGAACCUGAGAUUCCAACGGAAUUCUUGAUUAAGAGCUCCCCGACAAUUCCGUAGUAUUAUUUUUAUUAAACCUUUUUGAUAUGAGAUGCUCUCUUCCGGAGCCAGUGAUAAAUCUAAUUGCGGUAGCAAAUGGUGAGGAUUAUGAAGGACAAUUGGUAAUAAGUUGUCUUGUAAGGUUAGGUUCGUAAGCAUGGGAGGUGUGUUUUUUCUAUAUUUCCUGACCUGUAGAUCACUAGAAGGUUGUUCAAGAUCAAGAAUUUCCUAAGCAUCUCCGGUAGGUUGUUGUCUUCUUUUGCUUGGUGGUGAUUUUCUUGAAGUGUUGAAUUUGGUGGUGAGUUGAAAUUGUGGUUGGUGGUUGUGUGAUGUUGCAGUGGUUGUGUGGUGUUGUGGUGGUAUUAGUGAUGUCGGUAUUGGGGGUUGAUGGGUCUCACUGGUUGGUGGGGAGGAGCAAACCAUGUCAAG
rnacentral:lncRNA from 1 species